rnacentral:lncRNA from 1 species
UGUGACACAAACACGGUGGUAGCGCGGCACGUGGCCUGCAACGCCAAAACUCAUCCUCUCUGGCCCUUUACGGAAGCUUGCCAGCCCCUGCUCUCCAUUCACGGUUCCCUCCGAGAUGGGCGCCGCACCAUCCUACACCAGCGGUGUCAGACCACCAACCCCCAGAUUCAGACUCCGAGACGAAGUGGUAAACCUGAAAUGUAUUUUGUGAACUUAAAGGGUUAAAUCAGCACUGUCACCUUGUCAUAAAGGCCAUCUCCGUCAGUCACCCCAGGACAGCCCUGUCCACCAUUCUUGGCCAGCUUCCUUCAAGGACUUUAUCACAUCUGAUACCUUCUCUUUGUAAAUAUUUGUCCCCCUCCUCACAUUGUGAGAGCCCUGAGAACAGGAAUCUUCACAGUCUUGUUUGUCCCUAUAUCCCCAGGGCCUAGAACACUGCCUGGCCCAUAGGGGGUGCUCAAGCAACACUGAAUGAAUGAAUGAAUGAAUGAAUGAAAAGCAAUUCAGCAGCAAAAUUUUCCUAUUGGGUGAAGAGAGAUAACUACACAGUGACCACAAGACCCAGACUCUACAGCUUCACUACUGGUCAUGAAAAUAUGGAGUUGAAGACAAAGAGAGUCAGGAGGAAGGCAUCCAGAGCCAUCGGGUGCAGAGAACGAUGCAGGAACAAAUGUGCUGUAGGAACUGUAACGCACCAGUGAGUCACUGAGCAGCCGUGCCUUUUGUCCGCAUGUCCUGGGCGAACGAGUGGAACCCAAAAUGGACAUGACCCAAGGGGGCCGAUUUAAGACCUCAUGAAUACUGAGUGCCUCAUGAAACUCCUCAUGUGACUGAUAAUUGUGUGCUGCUUCUCCACCCUUUUGUGCAUUCCUAUGAAAGUUCAUCAGACGUGCUCUCUGCUUCCCUUCUCACAAGCUGUCUGGCUCUGUACUGAGUUUCUCUUCUUUUCUUUCUUUCUUUCUCUUUCUUUUUUCUUUUGGCUUAAACAACAGAAAUUUUUAUUCUUAGAGUUCUGGAUACUAGAAGUCCAAGAUCAAGGGCUGGCAAGGUUGGACAUUUGUUUGUUUCA